GAUGAAGAACGUAGCGAAAUGCGAUAAGUAGUGUGAAUUGCAGAAUUCAGUGAAUCAUCGAAUCUUUGAACGCACAUUGCGCCCCUUGGUAUCCCGAGGGGCAUGCCUGUUCGAGCGUCAUUUCACCACUCAAGCCUGGCUUGGUGUUGGGCGACGUCCCCUUUAGGGACGCGCCUCGAAACGCUCGGCGGCGUGGCACCGGCUUUAAGCGUAGCAAAAUCUUUCGCUUUGGAAGUCGGGGCCCCGCCUGCCGGAAUACCUACUCGUAAGGUUGACCUCGGAUCAGGCAGGGAUACCCGCUGAACUUAAGCAUAUCAAUAAGCGGAGGA
rnacentral:misc_RNA from 1 species